GUAGGUGGCAAGCGUUGUCCGGAAUUAUUGGGCGUAAAGCGCGCGCAGGCGGUUCUUUAAGUCUGAUGUGAAAGCCCACGGCUCAACCGUGGAGGGUCAUUGGAAACUGGAGAACUUGAGUACAGAAGAGGAAAGCGGAAUUCCAUGUGUAGCGGUGAAAUGCGUAGAGAUGUGGAGGAACACCAGUGGCGAAGGCGGCUUUCUGGUCUGUAACUGACGCUGAGGCGCGAAAGCGUGGGGAGCAAACAGGAUUAGAUACCCUGGUAGUCCACGCCGUAAACGAUGAGUGCUAAGUGUUAGGGGGUUUCCGCCCCCCUUAGUGCUGCAGCUAACGCAUUAAGCACUCCGCCUGGGAGUACGGCCGCAAGGCUG
rnacentral:rRNA from 1 species